GACGAACGCUGGCGGCGUGCUUAACACAUGCAAGUCGAACGAAGAGCGAUGGAAGCUUGCUUCUAUCAAUCUUAGUGGCGAACGGGUGAGUAACGCGUAAUCAACCUGCCCUUCAGAGGGGGACAACAGUUGGAAACGACUGCUAAUACCGCACACGAUCCAAUCUCGGCAUCGAGACUGGAUGAAAGGUGGCCUCUAUUUAUAAGCUAUCACUGAAGGAGGGGAUUGCGUCUGAUUAGCUAGUUGGAGGGGUAACGGCCCACCAAGGCGAUGAUCAGUAGCCGGUCUGAGAGGAUGAACGGCCACAUUGGGACUGAGACACGGCCCAGACUCCUACGGGAGGCAGCAGUGGGGAAUCUUCCGCAAUGGACGAAAGUCUGACGGAGCAACGCCGCGUGAGUGAUGACGGCCUUCGGGUUGUAAAGCUCUGUUAAUCGGGACGAAUGGUUCUUGUGCGAAU
rnacentral:rRNA from 1 species